rnacentral:rRNA from 1 species
GACGAACGCUGGCGGCGUGCCUAACACAUGCAAGUCGAGCGGAGCGGUGAACGGGUGAGUACCGCGUGAGUAACUGCCCCCCUCUCUGGGAUUACAGUUGGUAACGGCUGCUAAUACCGGAAAGUGGGGGUUGACUCGUGUCCUAUCAGCUUGUUGGUGGGGUAGUGGCCAACCAAGGCGACGACGGUUAGCAGGCCUGAGAGGGGGACCGGCCACACUGGACUGAGAAACGGUCCAGACUCCUACGGGAGGCAGCAGUGGGGAAUAUUGCACAAUGGGCGCAAGCCUGACGCAGCAAUGCCGCGUGUAUGAAGAAGGCCUUCGGGUUGUAAAAUACUGUCAGCGAGGAGGCCGUAGUGAUUGACGGUACUCGAAGAAGAAGCACCGGCUAACUCCGUGCCAGCAGCCGCGGUAAUUC